AGUGAACGCUGGCGGUAGGCCUAACACAUGCAAGUCGAACGGCAGCACAGUAAGAGCUUGCUCUUACGGGUGGCGAGUGGCGGACGGGUGAGGAAUACAUCGGAAUCUACUUUUUCGUGGGGGAUAACGUAGGGAAACUUACGCUAAUACCGCAUACGACCUACGGGUGAAAGCAGGGGAUCUUCGGACCUUGCGCGAUUGAAUGAGCCGAUGUCGGAUUAGCUAGUUGGCGGGGUAAAGGCCCACCGAGGCGACGAUCCGUAGCUGGCCUGAGAGGAUGAUCAGCCACACUGGAACUGAGACACGGUCCAGACUCCUACGGGAGGCAGCAGUGGGGAAUAUUGGACAAUGGGCGCAAGCCUGAUCCAGCCAUACCGCGUGGGUGAAGAAGGCCUUCGGGUUGUAAAGCCCUUUUGUUGGGAAAGAAAAGCAGCAGGUUAAUACCCCGCUGUUCUGACGGUACCCAAAGAAUAAGCACCGGCUAACUUCGUG
rnacentral:rRNA from 1 species